CCUACGGGAGGCUGCAGUGGGGAAUAUUGGACAAUGGGGGGAACCCUGAUCCAGCCAUGCCGCGUGUGUGAAGAAGGCCCUCGGGUUGUAAAGCACUUUCAGUGAGGAAGAACGCCUGGUGGUUAAUACCCAUCAGGAAAGACAUCACUCACAGAAGACGCACCGGCUAACUCCGUGCCAGCAGCCGCGGUAAUACGGAGGGUGCGAGCGUUAAUCGGAAUUACUGGGCGUAAAGCGCGCGUAGGUGGCUUGAUAAGCCGGUUGUGAAAGCCCCGGGCUCAACCUGGGAACGGCAGCCGGAACUGUCGAGCUAGAGUGCAGGAGAGGAAGGUAGAAUUCCCGGUGUAGCGGUGAAAUGCGUAGAGAUCGGGAGGAAUACCAGUGGCGAAGGCGGCCUUCUGGACUGACACUGACACUGAGGUGCGAAAGCGUGGGUAGCAAACAGGAUUAGAUACCCCAGUAGUC
rnacentral:rRNA from 1 species